GUUCCCAUCAUGGCUCAGUGGUUAACGAACCCAACUAGUAUCCAUGAAGACGAGAGUUCGAUCCCUGGCCUUGCUCAGUCGGUUAAGGAUCCGGUGUUGCUGUGGCUGUGGCAUAGGCUGGCAGCUGCAGCUCUAACUUGACCCCUAGCCUGGGAGCCUCCUCCAUAUGCUGUGGGUGCAGCCCUAGAAAAGGCAAAAGACCAAAAAAAAAAGGAUAAUAAUAAAAAGUCUGCAGUUAAUGAUAAAACGUUCCUCUAUCACCUAAUAUAAUGUUUGUCAUGCUGUAUACAUUUAAUAAAUUUUUAAAAAUAUAAGUAUUUAGCAUAAGGAACUAGAAAAUGAAUAAAUACAUUCCAAUUUUUUAAAAUGAAAUUGUAUUCAUAAAUAUAUAUAUUUAUCCAAUAUUAAAUUAAAUGAUACACUUUAUCCAGAAUUUUUUCUGAAUAAUACCAUAAAGGUAGUAUAGACUUUGAUAACUCUGGAAAGAAAAAGAGAGUAAAGUCAAUAGAGAUAAAGAAAAUUAGAGAGACAGAGGAAAAAAGAAAGGAAGAAUAAAGAGCAAAAGGAAGGAAGAAAAGAAAGGCGAGAAGGAAGGAGUGAGGGAGGGAAAGAAAGGGAGGAAGAAAGGAAUGAGGUACAACAACCUUUUUGUAAAUGAGGAAGGGGACAUAACUCUAUAAGAUUAGGAGAUUUUCAAAAUAAUUUUUAAUAAAAGUGACCAUAUGUACUAAAAUAUACUUGAAAUAUACAUUUCAAUAUAUUUACAAGCCUAGAAAGAAUGAUUUAUUUCUUAGGAGUGGUAAAUUAUGAAAUAUAAAUUUAUUUAUAUUUACCUGUAUUCUAUACAUUUGAAUACAAACUUAAUUCAAGAUUUUAUUAAGAGUUUGAAUUUUUAAAUAUUAUACAAAAUUAUAAAUGUUAAUAAAUAUUGUUAAUUUAAUAGGCUUCAUUAAGUGAAAACAUUUACAAAUAAUUAAAUGACACCAGGUUUUCCAGGAGUGGCAUCAGAUGCUUCAAUUAGGGAAUCAGUUUGUUAAUUAUAAUAAAGAAGUAAAUUCAUUCAUGAAAUCAAAGAGAUUUAGAAAGUUCCUAAAGUGAACAAGUAUUAAAAAUGGGGUUGUCUAAAUUUCUAAUGGAAAAACAAAAUUUAGAAUUUGUAAUGCUGUCAUCAUCUACACUUAAGAAACAAAUGCGAUAGAAAUACAUAUCAAAUCAAUUGUGAUACAGACAUUAAUAGAGUCAUUCAUAUAUACACGUGUGGGUACAAAUAUGUAAACAUACUUACAUAUGUACAUAAUGGAAGUGAAUGAACUACCAUGUUUUUGUGAUAAAGUUGAUAAAUAUUAAAACACAAAUCAUAAAAAACCUUCACUGUGACAGUAUAGAAUCUUAGAUAUAUUUGAGAAUGUGCAGGACUACUGUACAUAUCAACCCCAAAUUCCUGCAAUAAUAUUCUUUUCUUGAGAAUAAAUUCUUCCAUUAUCAUCAUUACUUUCAAAAUAUCAUUUAGAAAUCUGUAAGCAAAUUAGAAAAUCCAAUGGAAUACUCCAUACAUCAAGCUUUUGAAACUUUGGUACUUUUGGUACUAUUUACAAAGAUUGUAAAUAGUAGGCUAUGAAAAAAUUCCCCCUUAAAAAAAGCAUGGGUAAGAUCUGAAUUAAUUACAAAACAAGAGCUCAAAUUGUGUAAAAAAAUUAUCUUGAAAUGCUAUAAGCUAUAAUUAUCUUUGUAAUAUAUUUUCUUGUGAGUGUACUUUAUUUGAAAAAGCUCUUCUUCUUUUUUUUUUUUUUUUUUUCUAAAGGGCCAUCUGCAUGGCAUAUGGAAGUUCCUGGGCUAGGGGUUGAAUCAGAACUGCAGUUGCAUUCACAUGGGUCACAUGCAAUUUUUUUUAUAAUGAUUUUUAUUUUUUCCAUUAUAGCUGGUUUACAGUGUUCUGUCAAUUUUCUACUGUACAACAAAGCGACCCAGUUACACAUAUAUGUAUACAUUCUUUUUUCUCACAUUAUCAUGCUCCAUCACAAGUGACUAGCCAUAGUUCUCAGUGCUAUACAGCAAGAUCUCAUUGCUUAUCCAUUCCAAAGGCAAUGGUUUACAUCUAUUAACCCAAAAUUCUCACAUAUAAUCUUAUAUUCUGGCUUCUCCCUGCAAAGAAACUUCCUCCUAUAACCCCUACUAGUAAAGUCAUUGAAGAUUGUUAAGGCAAUAGGAGAGACAGGCUCGCUAGACAGAGUGGAGAGGCCACAUCAGUGUGCAUGGGAGACUCAUUGUAUGUGAUCUGUUUGAUAGUCUCUGAUUCUUUCAGCUAUUUCUAGACACAUGCAUCCCAUUUCUCCCACUUUCCUGAAUCACCGGACUAAAUUUUACAUCAGACUUGUAGCUACAAAUUUAACUGAUGUUCAGAUCAGACGUUCCAAAAGGCAUGGCCUUUGGUGUGUGCAUAUCUCCAAACACAUCAAGAUGUACAUAUUAAAUAUGUUAUAUUUUUCCACAUCUUUUACACCACAAGAUAAAAAAGAUAUUUAGUAAUUCAAUAUUGUAAAGUGAGAUUUCCAUUUUAAAAUGUCUAAUUUUAAAGAAUUAGAUAAUCUCUAGAUGAUAUUACCUUAAUUUUGUCAUAAGUACAUACUAUUAAUAAUCAUUUCAGGAGACUUACAAUAUAGAAAUUUCAACUAUGGAGUUUGUUGCAAAGGUUCAUUUAAUUUCUAUUUAUUUUUAUUAAAUACAAACUAGAAAACAAAUUAAAUGAAUAGCCAACUAAAAAGAUAGCACCAAGGAUAUGUAUUUUAUCAUCUUAUCCAAAUACAGUGAAGCUAAUACAUUUGGGGACCAUUUAAAAUGAGCCAUUGGAUUUGAAAGUAAAUGACAAUCCUUCCUUAUUAAUCUUCCUCUUCAUGGCAGUUUUUGUACUUUGUAUUUACUGCCUAUUCAUUUUCUUUGAUGAGAAAUGCAGACUACAGCAAUGUGUCUAAUGUGUUGACUAAAAAUAACCCUCAACUAUAUUUUAGACAGCUCCAAAGGCUAGACUGUAUUAUCUUUUGAAAGAUCAGAACAAAGACCCUUUCAGUUCAUAAAGAAUAGAUGAAAAAUUGCUCUAAUUAGUUUAUUUUAAUCUGUAGAGAGGAGCGUAAGUUGUCUACACAUUAUAAAUGGCUAAUUUUUAGUGAUUAGCUUUUAUUUCUAGGCAUUGUACACAAGCACCUGGCUUGUCCCUGGUCAAAUUUAUUCUUUUCAUUUUUUCGUUAGUUAGAUCAUGCCCAACCCCACUUCCAAAUUCCUGUGACUGAAAUAUAAAUAACACUGAAAUCAUAAUGUGUCAUAAAAUCUGCUUCUCUUACUUAUCUUUAUGAGAAAAACUCUGUGUUGAGUUACUCUCCAGUAACUCAACACAGCAUCUUAAGUUCUUUCCAAUUACUCUCCUCCCACAUCAAAAUGUUCUCCAUUUUCAUUGUAUUUAAUCUACUAAGUACCUUCUGCCUUUGGCAUCUCUUCAUUUGCACCAUGAUCUUAAUGCAGCACUUUGUUGCCUUUUCCAUGGAUUGCAGUAAUGCAUUUUAAUUGCUCUCAAGACUUCUUUCUGGCUCCAGUGCUGUGCUGUUACUACCAACAUGACUUUUCAAAAAUGUAAAUCUUAACACCCACCUCUUUGCAAAAGCCAAACAAUGACUCUGAAGGUAUAGCACAAAUCCUUAUAUUAACACAAUUUAUGGGCACCUGCAUCCUUCCCCAAUUUAUCUCUGUAUAUCAUUCCCUCUAACCAUAAUACACUGGAAGAUUCAGAUAUAAAUACUUAUGUCUCCUUGAAGAUACUCAAAUAUGUUGGUUAGCUAUUCUGAUGGUCUACAGUCAGUAUUUGGCCCCAUAUUUACAAUCAAAGCAUGAAAGUAUUUUAGUUGAUAUUUUAAAAUUAUUUAGAUUUUUGUUUGUUUUUAUUUUGAAUCCAAUGAAAGAUAGAAGUAGUGAAAUAAAAAAAGAACAAGAUAUAGUAAAAGUGGAAUUGUAAAUAUCUUCAGGUUAAACAAGUAGCAAUGUAUCUAAUUUACUAAUAAUACAAAGAUGAUUUCUAAUUCCUAACAGCCCACAGCUUCUCUUAGUUUCCAAGAGGUCCAUUCAUAUAUCAAAAGUUUAUGGAGUAUUUAUUAUUUGUUGGGUAAUGUGUCAACACUGGACAUAUGCCUGUGAAUAAGAUUUGAUCCCUGACUAUAAGGUGCUUAGAAUAUUGUGAACGAAAUAAAAAAGAAUGCUGAGCACUGUGAUAAAGAAUAAUAAGUUCAAUUACAACAAACAUUCAUGAUUUUAUCUAAGGAAAGUUUCCUAUUUCCAAAUGGAGUUGUGAUUGAGGAUCUAUCAGAAGAAAAAGUCCAAGAAGCUGUGAUGACCCAAGUAUAAGUUAGCCUGUGCAUAAUAUAUUAUCAGCAAUGCUCAGGUGAAUAUGCACCACAGAGCAUGGCAUACUGAUAAAAUUUAAGUUCAGGAAACUAAGAUAUACUCCAAUUGGGCCAUGGAUUAUAUUUACAUAUUGGCAUAAUAAUACCUUAUUGCUAUUUGUUUCAAUAAUAUGUGUGCAUAGUUUAAGGCAAUAGGGCCUACAAGGCCGUUAACAUUCUCUUCCACUACCCUACUGUAGAGUAGUGAGUAUAGAAUGGAAUCAGGAAUCAGUCAUCAAGACUAAUCUAACUUUUGGAUGGAUUAGCCAACAUGAAUAAUGUUGAC
rnacentral:lncRNA from 1 species